rnacentral:snRNA from 1 species
GGAUGUGAGGGCGAUCUGGCUGCGACAUCUGUCACCCCAUUGAUCGCCAGGGUUGAUUCGGCUGAUCUGGCUGGCUAGGCGGGUGUCCCCCUCCUCCCUCACCGAUCCAUGUGCGUCCCUCCCGAAGCUGCGCGCUCGGUCGAAGAGGACGACCUUCCCCCCCGAGGAGAGGACCGGUCUUCGGUCAAGGGUAUACGAGUAGCUGCGCUCCCCUGCUAGAACCUCCAAACAAGCUCUCAAAGGUAGGAUCAUAGUCAUGGGAGGAGGCAUGAACCCAAGGCUGCGGAGUGGCCCAGCAGGCACUGUGAGAGGUCACAAGGUGAUGGAGU